UAGAUUUGUUUUAAGUCAAACUUGUCCAAUUUUGACCAAAUUUGUAUAAAAUAUUAAAAUAUUUAUACUUCUAAAUAUAUGCAAUAUCAAAAUAUAUUUCAUGGUGAAUUCAAUGAAACAAAUUUGAAAUUGUAAAUAUUGUUAUAUUUUUCUAUAAAUUUGGUUAAAGUUGAGAAAAUUUGACUUAGGACGAACCUAA
rnacentral:pre_miRNA from 1 species